rnacentral:rRNA from 1 species
AAAUUGAAGAGUUUGAUCAUGGCUCAGAUUGAACGCUGGCGGCAGGCCUAACACAUGCAAGUCGAGCGGAAACGAGUUAUCAGAACCUUCGGGGGACGAUAACGGCGUCGAGCGGCGGACGGGUGAGUAAUGCCUAGGAAAUUGCCCUGAUGUGGGGGAUAACCAUUGGAAACGAUGGCUAAUACCGCAUGAUGCCUACGGGCCAAAGAGGGGGACCUUCGGGCCUCUCGCGUCAGGAUAUGCCUAGGUGGGAUUAGCUAGUUGGUGAGGUAAGGGCUCACCAAGGCGACGAUCCCUAGCUGGUCUGAGAGGAUGAUCAGCCACACUGGAACUGAGACACGGUCCAGACUCCUACGGGAGGCAGCAGUGGGGAAUAUUGCACAAUGGGCGCAAGCCUGAUGCAGCCAUGCCGCGUGUGUGAAGAAGGCCUUCGGGUUGUAAAGCACUUUCAGUCGUGAGGAAGGUAGUGUAGUUAAUAGCUGCAUUAUUUGACGUUAGCGACAGAAGAAGCACCGGCUAACUCCGUGCCAGCAGCCGCGGUAAUACGGAGGGUGCGAGCGUUAAUCGGAAUUACUGGGCGUAAAGCGCAUGCAGGUGGUUUGUUAAGUCAGAUGUGAAAGCCCGGGGCUCAACCUCGGAAUUGCAUUUGAAACUGGCAGACUAGAGUACUGUAGAGGGGGGUAGAAUUUCAGGUGUAGCGGUGAAAUGCGUAGAGAUCUGAAGGAAUACCGGUGGCGAAGGCGGCCCCCUGGACAGAUACUGACACUCAGAUGCGAAAGCGUGGGGAGCAAACAGGAUUAGAUACCCUGGUAGUCCACGCCGUAAACGAUGUCUACUUGGAGGUUGUGGCCUUGAGCCGUGGCUUUCGGAGCUAACGCGUUAAGUAGACCGCCUGGGGAGUACGGUCGCAAGAUUAAAACUCAAAUGAAUUGACGGGGGCCCGCACAAGCGGUGGAGCAUGUGGUUUAAUUCGAUGCAACGCGAAGAACCUUACCUACUCUUGACAUCCAGAGAACUUUCCAGAGAUGGAUUGGUGCCUUCGGGAACUCUGAGACAGGUGCUGCAUGGCUGUCGUCAGCUCGUGUUGUGAAAUGUUGGGUUAAGUCCCGCAACG